ensembl:rRNA 5S_rRNA 5S ribosomal RNA
GCUUACGGCCAUACCAGCCCAUGAACGCCCGGUCUCUUUUAUGAUUUGGAAGCUAAGAAGGCUUGGCCUGGUUAGUACUUGGAUGGGAGACCUCCUGGGAAUACCCAGGUGCUGUAAGCU